GGCAGCAUUGUGGCUCAGGGACAGAGCACCUGCCUCACAAGCAAAAGGUCCCUGGUUCAAUCCCUGCCUCAGAGCCU